UGAGCAAUCUGCCCUUCUCUUUGGAAUAAGCGUUGGAAACGACGUCUAAUGCCGAAUACGACCUCCUUUCGCAUGAUUGGAGGUGGAAAGCUCCGGCGGAGAAGGAUGAGCUCGCGGGCCUAUCAGCUAGUUGGUGUGGGUAAUGGCUUACCAAGGCGACGACGGGUAGCCGGCCUGAGAGGGUGACCGGCCACACUGGGACUGAGACACGGCCCAGACUCCUACGGGAGGNAG
rnacentral:rRNA from 1 species